UGACCUCGGAUCAGACGUGAUUACCGCUGAAUUUAAGCAUAUUAUUAAGCGGAGGAAAAGAAACUAACAAGGAUUCCCCUAGUAACGGCGAGUGAACGGGGAAGAGCCCAACACCGAAUCCCUUGGCGCAAGUCAACGGGAAAUGUGGUGUUAAGGUAGCCCUUCGUGUCAGUCUAGGCGUCUCAAGUCCACCUGAUUGUGGCUCAAGCCCAGAGAGGGUGUAAGGCCCGUAGAGACGCUCCGACUGAUUCCUGGGGUUUACCUACGAGUCGGCUUGUUUGGGAAUGCAGGCCAAAGCGGGUGGUAAACUCCAUCCAAGGCUAAAUACUGGCACGAGUCCGAUAGCGGACAAGUACCGUGAGGGAAAGUUGAAAAGAACUUUGAAGAGAGAGUUCAAUAGUACGUGAAACCGCUUAGAGGCAAACGGAUGGUGCUCAUACUGGCCUGAGGAAUUCAACUGUGACGGUGGCUGGACGAGCUGGCGUUCCGAUCUCUCUUUUGGGACGGGCGUCGGUUUGGCUAUCAGCUCUGACAUGGUGCACUUUCCUUGGUGCCUCCGCCACGACCGACGACACUGGCUACCCGCGGCUGGGGUAAGGUGACAAACUGCUUCGGCAAUUUGUGUUAUAGACCCCGGCGUCGGACAUGGUUUGGCCAGGACGUCGAGCUUGCGGCGCCCGCUCCUUGUGGGCUCGCAUGUUGGCUAGCUUGGCUGCGCGAUGCUUGCACUGGACAACCAGUACAGGUGACGGUUGUGGUCUUGUCUCUAGUUGGCCUCUGCGAGUUUGGCGCCUAUAGUCUGUGGUGUACUUGUGGGUAGACUAUCCGACCCGUCUUGAAACACGGACCAAGGAGUCUAACAUGUGCGCGAGUCAUGGGGAUUCUACGAAACCAAAGGCGCAGUGAAAGUAAAGGCCUGCUUCUCGUAGGCUGAGGUGGGAUCUCGUGCAUCGCGAUUGGCGAGCGCACCACCGGCCCGUCCUAUCUGUCUCUGUCAGUGGGGCGGCGCAAGAGCGUACACGUUGGGACCCGAAAGAUGGUGAACUAUGCUUGCGCAGCUCGAAGUCAGUGGAAACACUGAUGGAGGAGCGCAGCGUUUCUGACGUGCAAAUCGAUCGUCAAACGUGAGUAUAGGGGCGAAAGACUAAUCGAACCAUCUAGUAGCUGGUUCCCUCCGAAGUUUCCCUCAGGAUAGCUGGCACUCGGGAAACAGUUUUAUCCGGUAAAGCGAAUGAUUAGAGGCAUUGGGGUCGAAACGACCUCGACCUAUUCUCAAACUUUAAAAUGGGUAAGAUGCUCGUCUCGCUUAAUUGGAGGCGGGCUUCACCUCUCUAACGUGAAUGUGAGUGCCCAGUGGGCCAUUUUUGGUAAGCAGAACUGGCGCUGUGGGAUGAACCAAACGCGCGGUUAAGGCGCCCAAUGCGGACGCUCAUGAGACAACCACAAAAGGUGUUGGUCGAUACUGACAGCAGGACGGUGGCCAUGGAAGUCGGAACCCGCUAAGGAGUGUGUAACAACUCACACCUGCCGAAUCAACCAGCCCUGAAAAUGGAUGGCGCUGGAGCGUCGGGCCUAUACCGUGCCGUUGGGGCGAAGCAGACAAAUAAUCUGUGUGGAUGUCCCAACGAGUAGGAGGGUCGCCGUGGUGAGCGCAGAAGGUGCGGCCGUGAGGCCGGCUGGAGCCGCCACGGGCGCAGAUCUUGGUGGUAGUAGCAAUUACUCAAGUGAGAACCUUGAGGACUGAAGUGGAGAAGGGUUCCAUGUGAACAGCAGUUGAACAUGGGUCAGGCGGUCCUAAGCGAUCGGGUAACUCCGUACCUAGACGAGGGUGACAACUAUCACUUAUAAUUGUGACGUGUUAUAGCCCUCCGGAGCGAAAGGGAAUCGUGUUAAUAUUCACGACCCUUACCGUGGAGAUCGCCCCUUUCGGGGGGCAAGUGCGGUAACGCAAACGAACACAGAGACGUCGGCUGGAGCCCCGGGAAGAGUUCUCUUUUCUUUGUAAGGAGCGUACCCCCUGGAAUCGGCUUGUCCGGAGAUAGGGGGCGUGGCUUCCGUAAAGCAGCGCGGGUCUUGCGCUGUCCGGUGCACUCUAGUCGGCCCUUGAAAAUCUGUGGGAGACAGUGUGAUUUUCACGGUAGGCCGUACCCAUAUCCGCAGCAGGUCUCCAAGGUGAACAGCCUCUAGUCUAGAACAAUGUAGGUAAGGGAAGUCGGCAAAAUGGAUCCGUAACUUCGGGAAAAGGAUUGGCUCUGAGGGCUGGGUCGGAUGGGCUGGCGUAAGAAGCUGUUCCGGUUUUGGUGAGGACUGGGCGAGGCUUUCGGGCUUUACUCGGACAUGCCGAGACCAGGCAGUAGACGACGUCAGCUGUGCUUGUCGUGUUUCGGCGCGGCAGCUUCGUCCGGCAACAAACAGCCAACUCAGAACUGGCACGGACUAGGGGGGAAUCCGACUGUCUAAUUAAAACAAAGCAUUGCGAUGGCUGCUGUUUGCUCGGUCGGUGGUGAAACGCAAUGUGAUUUCUGCCCGUUGCUCUGAAUGUCAAAGUGAAGAAAUUCAAUCA
rfam:Macrostomum lignano unitig_47858, whole genome shotgun sequence.